CAAUUUAAACAACGAAGAGUUUGAUCCUGGCUCAGGAUGAACGCUAGCGACAGGCUUAACACAUGCAAGUCGAGGGGCAGCACAGGUAGCAAUACCGGGUGGCGACCGGCGCACGGGUGAGUAACGCGUAUGCAACUUACCUAUCAGAGGGGGAUAACCCGGCGAAAGUCGGACUAAUACCGCAUGAAGCAGGGGUCCCGCAUGGGGAUAUUUGCUAAAGAUUCAUCGCUGAUAGAUAGGCAUGCGUUCCAUUAGGCAGUUGGCGGGGUAACGGCCCACCAAACCGACGAUGGAUAGGGGUUCUGAGAGGAAGGUCCCCCACAUUGGUACUGAGACACGGACCAAACUCCUACGGGAGGCAGCAGUGAGGAAUAUUGGUCAAUGGCCGAGAGGCUGAACCAGCCAAGUCGCGUGAGGGAUGAAGGUUCUAUGGAUCGUAAACCUCUUUUAUAAGGGAAUAAAGUGCGGGACGUGUCCCGUUUUGUAUGUACCUUAUGAAUAAGGAUCGGCUAACUCCGUGCCAGCAGCCGCGGUAAUACGGAGGAUCCGAGCGUUAUCCGGAUUUAUUGGGUUUAAAGGGUGCGUAGGCGGCCUUUUAAGUCAGCGGUGAAAGUCUGUGGCUCAACCAUAGAAUUGCCGUUGAAACUGGGGGGCUUGAGUAUGUUUGAGGCAGGCGGAAUGCGUGGUGUAGCGGUGAAAUGCAUAGAUAUCACGCAGAACCCCGAUUGCGAAGGCAGCCUGCCAAGCCAUUACUGACGCUGAUGCACGAAAGCGUGGGGAUCAAACAGGAUUAGAUACCCUGGUAGUCCACGCAGUAAACGAUGAUCACUAGCUGUUUGCGAUACACUGUAAGCGGCACAGCGAAAGCGUUAAGUGAUCCACCUGGGGAGUACGCCGGCAACGGUGAAACUCAAAGGAAUUGACGGGGGCCCGCACAAGCGGAGGAACAUGUGGUUUAAUUCGAUGAUACGCGAGGAACCUUACCCGGGUUUGAACGCAUUCGGACCGAGGUGGAAACACCUUUUCUAGCAAUAGCCGUUUGCGAGGUGCUGCAUGGUUGUCGUCAGCUCGUGCCGUGAGGUGUCGGCUUAAGUGCCAUAACGAGCGCAACCCUUGCCACUAGUUACUAACAGGUAAAGCUGAGGACUCUGGUGGGACUGCCAGCGUAAGCUGCGAGGAAGGCGGGGAUGACGUCAAAUCAGCACGGCCCUUACAUCCGGGGCGACACACGUGUUACAAUGGCGUGGACAAAGGGAAGCCACCUGGCGACAGGGAGCGAAUCCCCAAACCACGUCUCAGUUCGGAUCGGAGUCUGCAACCCGACUCCGUGAAGCUGGAUUCGCUAGUAAUCGCGCAUCAGCCAUGGCGCGGUGAAUACGUUCCCGGGCCUUGUACACACCGCCCGUCAAGCCAUGGGAGCCGGGGGUACCUGAAGUCCGUAACCGCGAGGAUCGGCCUAGGGUAAAACUGGUGACUGGGGCUAAGUCGUAACAAGGUAGCCGUACCGGAAGGUGCGGCUGGAACACCUCCUUUCUGGAGC
rnacentral:rRNA from 1 species